rnacentral:rRNA from 1 species
UGGGGAAUCUUGCGCAAUGGGCGAAAGCCUGACGCAGCGACGCCGCGUGGGGGAUGAAGGGUUUCGACUUGUAAACCCCUGUUGCCCGGGACGAACUUCUCGAUUCGUCGAGAUUGACGGUACCGGGUGAGGAAGCACCGGCUAACUCCGUGCCAGCAGCCGCGGUAAUACGGAGGGUGCGAGCGUUGUCCGGAAUCACUGGGCGUAAAGGGCGCGUAGGUGGCGCUGCAAGUCAACGGUGAAAGCUCGACGCUUAACGUCGAGUCGGCCGUCGAAACUGCAGCGCUCGAGCACUGUAGAGGCUCAUGGAAUUCCGGGUGUAGCGGUGGAAUGCGUAGAGAUCCGGAAGAACACCGGUGGCGAAGGCGGUGAGCUGGGCAGUUGCUGACACUGAUGCGCGACAGCGUGGGGAGCAAACAGGAUUAGAUACCCCCGUAGUCC